rnacentral:rRNA from 1 species
GACGAACGCUGGCGGCGUGCUUAACACAUGCAAGUCGAACGGACAGGCCCUGCUUUUGUUGGGUGCUCGUGUGGCGAGCGGGUGAGUAACACGUGAGUAUCCUGCCCUUGACUUUGGGAUAACUUCAGGAAACUGGGGCUCAUACCCGAUAGGAGCUCCUGCUGCAUGGUGGGGGUUGGUAAGUUUCGGCGGUUGGGGAUGGACUCGCGGCUUCUCAGCUUCUUGGUGGGGUAGUGGCUUACCAAGGCUUUGACGGGUAGCCGGCCUGAGAGGGUGACCGGCCACAUGGGGACUGAGAGAGGGCGCAGACGCCAACGGGAGGCAGCAGUGGGGAAUAUUGCGCAGUGGGGGGAAGCCUGAGGCAGCAACGCCGGGUGCGGGAUGACGGCCUGCGGGUUGUGAACCGCUUUGGCCGGUGACGAAGCGUGAGUGACGGUAAUGGAUAAGGAAGCAACGGCUAACUACGUG